CCUACGGGAGGCAGCAGUGGGGAAUCUUGCGCAAUGGGCGAAAGCCUGACGCAGCAACGCCGCGUGCGGGAAGAAGGCUCUCGGGUUGUAAACCGCUUUCAGCAGGAACGAAAAUGACGGUACUUGCAGAAGAAGGUGCGGCCAACUACGUGCCAGCAGCCGCGGUGACGCGUAGGCACCAAGCGUUGUCCGGAUUUAUUGGGCGUAAAGAGCUCGUAGGCGGUUCGGUAAGUCAGGUGUGAAAACUUUGGGCUUAACCCAAAGCCUGCAUCUGAUACUGCCGUGACUAGAGUUCGGUAGGGGAGUGGGGAAUUCCUAGUGUAGCGGUGAAAUGCGCAGAUAUUAGGAGGAACACCGGUGGCGAAGGCGCCACUCUGGGCCGAAACUGACGCUGAGGAGCGAAAGCGUGGGUAGCAAACAGGAUUAGAUACCCUGGUAGUCCACGCCGUAAACGUUGGGCACUAGGUGUGGGUUCCAACCAACGGAAUCCGCGCCGUCGCUAACGCAUUAAGUGCCCCGCCUGGGGAGUACGGCCGCAAGGUUAAAACUCAAAGGAAUUGACGG
rnacentral:rRNA from 1 species